AACUGAUUUUAAAUUGAAUUGGGCCACACAUUUUAGAAUCCCAAAUUUUUUCUCAACCCAACUCAAACCGAGUCGACCCGACCCGAUCCAACACCCAAACCCUUGUUCUUUUUUAUACCUAAAUCAACAUCGAGGCCCCUGGAGAGAUUAUCCACCGCUGAUAACACCAAGGAUCCCCCCGAAGAUCAUCCCAUCGUCUUGUUUUCUUCUUCAACUAGCGGCGACAACCCAGCCCUAUCUCUCAAGCGGCGAACCAGAUAACCCCAUCCCGCCGGAAAGUACCAUGAAUCCGGCGGAACUACCUGAAAAUCAAUGACCAUCUCUCAUUAUAAACUUUUAGAUCUUAUCGAUUUUUUGGCUGAAACACAAAUGGAGACGAAAAGGAAAGGAUUAAGAAAAUCAUUGAUCCUUUUCCCUCUUUGGUUCUGCAUCUCUAGGUAUCUGUUGUCAUUUUCUCAUUUCUGAAUGUCAAUGGUUGGCACACGUAUUUCUAGAUUGUGUAUUUUGUUCUUUCCUUUUAAUUUUUUUUGCUUGUUGUUGGCGUAAAGCUGGAGCAUGUAAUUAUACAGUUAGCUCAUGAGAUAGUAAACCAUGUAAUAUUAAUGUUUUGUUCAUUACCUAUAUUUUUCUUUGGGUGUUGUUUCUAAUUCUUGUGCCUUGUUUCCCCUAUUGAAACCACAAGUUCAUAUUGUAAAUACUUUAUUUUACUUGUUAUAUAUGUGACUCCGAUGGCUAUAAAACCAUAAUUAAAAGUCCAUAGCUAUGAUAUUGUAAAGUCCAAAGCCCG
rnacentral:lncRNA from 1 species